UAGCCGUAAACGAUACUCGCUAGGUGUCGGCCACGGUGCGACCGUUGUCGGUGCCGUAGGGAAGCCGUGAAGCGAGCCACCUGGGAAGUACGGCCGCAAGGCUGAAACUUAAAGGAAUUGGCGGGGGAGCACCACAACGGGUGGAGCUUGCGGUUUAAUUGGACUCAACGCCGGGAAGCUCACCGGAUAAGACAGCGGAAUGAUUGCCGGGCUGAAGACCCUGCAUGACCAGCUGAGAGGAGGUGCAUGGCGUAGUCGUGU
rnacentral:rRNA from 1 species